UACGGAGGAUCCAAGCGUUAUCCGGAUUUAUUGGGUUUAAAGGGUGCGUAGGUGGGAUGAUAAGUCAGAGGUGAAAGCUAGCAGCUUAACUGUUAAAUUGCCUUUGAUACUGUUGUUCUUGAGUAUAGUUGGCGUUGGCGGAAUGUGACAUGUAGCGGUGAAAUGCGUAGAUAUGUCACAGAACACCGAUCGCGAAGGCAGCUAACGAAGCUAUCGCUGACACUGAUGCACGAAAGCGUGGGGAGCAAACAGG
rnacentral:rRNA from 1 species